UACGGGGGGGGCAAGCGUUGUUCGGAAUUACUGGGCGUAAAGGGCUCGUAGGCGGCCAACUAAGUCAGACGUGAAAUCCCCAGCUUAACCUGGGAACUGCGUCUGAUACUGGAUGGCUUGAAUCCGGGAGAGGGAUGCAGAAUUCCAGGUGUAGCGGUGAAAUGCGUAGAUAUCUGGAGGAAUACCGGUGGCGAAGGCGGCAUCCUGGACCGGCAUUGACGCUGAGGUGCGAAAGCGUGGGGAGCGAACAGG
rnacentral:rRNA from 1 species